AACGAACGUUGGCGGCGUGGAUUAGGCAUGCAAGUCGAACGCGAAUCCCUGGGCAACUGGGGUGGAGAGUGGCGAAAGGGGCAGUAAGGCGUGGGUAACCUACCCUCCGGGCCGGGAUAGCUUCGGGAAACUGAAGGUAAUACCGGGCGACGCAGCGAGAUCGCAUGGUCUUGCUGCCAAAGGUCCGCCGCCGGGGGAGGGGCUCACGUGGUAUUAGCUAGACGGCGGGGUAACGGCCCACCGUGGCAAAGAUGCCUAGCAGGUGUGAGAGCACGACCUGGGCCACUGGAACUGAGACACUGGCCAGACACCUACGGGGGGCUGCAGGGGAGGAUCUUCGGCAAUGGGCGCAAGCCUGACCGAGCGACGCCGCGUGUGCGAUGAAGGCCUUCGGGUUGUAAAGCACUGUCGAGGGGGAGGAAGCCGCAAGGUUGACCUAUCCAUGGAGGAAGCACGGGCUAAGUUCGUG
rnacentral:rRNA from 1 species